UACGUAGGGGGCUAGCGUUGUCCGGAAUCAUUGGGCGUAAAGCGCGUGUAGGCGGUCCGGUAAGUCCGCUGUGAAAGUCGGGGGCUCAACCCUCGAAUGCCGGUGGAUACUGUCGAGCUCGAGUCCGGAAGAGGCGAGUGGAAUUCCUGGUGUAGCGGUGAAAUGCGCAGAUAUCAGGAGGAACACCAAUGGCGAAGGCAGCUCGCUGGGACGGUACUGACGCUGAGACGCGAAAGCGUGGGGAGCAAACAGG
rnacentral:rRNA from 1 species